CAAUAGCGUAUAUUAAAGUUGUUGCAGUUAAAAGCUCGUAGUUGGAUUUCUGGCCGAGUGUCCUAGGCCAGCAUGACGUUUGGUCCUAGGCGCUCUGCCAUCCUUCUGUCAACCUUCGCCUUCUUCAUUGGGGCGCUGGGCGUCAGAUAUUUUAUCCUUUGAGAAAAUUAGAGUGAUUUCAGGCAGGUCUUUCGCCGGAAUUACAUUAGCAUGGAAUAAUGGAAAAGGACUUACAACCUUCUUCUGUUGGUCUGAGAGGCUGUAGUAAUGAUUAAUAGGGAUAGUUGGGGCAUUAGUACUUAACUGUCGAGAGGUGAAAUUCUCCGAUUUGUUAA
rnacentral:rRNA from 1 species